rnacentral:rRNA from 1 species
GGAUACGGCCAUACUGCGGAGAAAGCACCGCUUCCCGUCCGAUCAGCGAAGUUAAGCUCCGCCAGGCGAUGUUAGUACUGGGGUGGGUGACCACCCGGGAAUCCAUCGUGCUGUAUCCUUUU